AUUGUUAUGAAGUAAGGUUCCCUAUUUUGAGAGAUGUACAUACACCACGUAGCAUUCAGUGUGAAGCUGUUGAAGUGAAAACACAAACAUGUUGAACAUUAAAGUCGCUGUGUUUCUGAUGGUAAUGCUUGCAGUAGCCUCUACGUUACCGUUGAACAACACAGCGGAACAGCCUGUGCAACGAGACUGCCUGGGAUUGUAUAAGCCGUGUACAUACAACUGUUGCGCUGAAUACAUCUGCAAAAACCGUUUUUAUACUGGACUGAAAUGUUACCCUCGGCCGCAUCCACCAAACGAGAAUGCAACACUGACGACUGACAACUAACCCAAGACCCGGACCGAGAUUGAGUUAGAAAGAUGUUGACAUCAAGCAAGACCGCAAGCCUCUUCUAUCUAUUGGAGUUAUUUUCAUUUUAUUUCUCGCAUGAUUUAAUGAAAGAAAAAACGUGUCGGGCUGUAUUCAUUGGUGAUUAAAAUA